rnacentral:rRNA from 1 species
UAAAAAUUCUUUUUUGCAUAUCAAAAAGCNGAGGAAAAGAAACCAACAGGGAUUGCCUCAGUAACGGCGAGUGAAGCGGCAAAAGCUCAAAUUUGAAAUCCCCCCGGGGAGUUGUAAUUUGAAGAUUGCGUCUUGGAGGCGACCGUGUCUAUGUUCCUUGGAACAGGACGUCACAGAGGGUGAGAAUCCCGUGCGGCACGGCCCCCGGCUCCUUAUAAGGCGCUCUCGACGAGUCGAGUUGUUUGGGAAUGCAGCUCAAAGUGGGUGGUAAAUUCCAUCUAAAGCUAAAUACAGGCGAGAGACCGAUAGCGAACAAGUACAGUGAUGGAAAGAUGAAAAGCACUUUGAAAAGAGAGUGAAACAGCACGUGAAAUUGUUGAAAGGGAAGGGCAUGCCGUCAGAUUGUCAGUGUGGGUAAGAAGCGGGGUACAAAGACUGUGGAACGUGGCCCUCGGGUGUUAUAGCCGCAGUUCAUGCCCCGUCUCUUUCCGAGGCCUGCUUUGAGGACACCGACGUAAUGACGGUACGCCGCCCGUCUUGAACCACGGACCAAAACCGCAAAAUA